ensembl:lincRNA
AUCAGCCCCAGUUGCAGCAAAAUGAGGAGAUUCAUUAAGAAAGGGAUUUAAAUCUCUUCAGAUGGAAAUCAUACUUCCACUCAGCGAAAGCUGGGGUCUUGAGCCUGGUGCAAGCCCCUCGUUAUUAAUGAAAAAGGCCCAGGCACACUCUGGCAGGAGGGCUGCCAUUCUGGGGAAGUGUAACAGCACGGAGCACAGAAAGGACAAAGCCCGGAGAAAGGAGAAGUUAGGACAGACCCCACAGAGCAGUCAUUAAUCAGUGCAGGCAGGGUGACAGGAGGGGGGGAGGGCUGUGCUCUGAGUGUGGGGGGCUCAUGACAUCAAGGUGGUUCACGGAGGCGCCCCCCUGGCUGUGGAGCACCUGCUCGGCCGGCGGCGUGUGCCACAUUACCAUCACAACGGCACAGCGCCUGCCCGCGCGGCUAAUUCAUCACCAGCGGAGACGCCCUCAGAGAGGCGCUGAGGCGCGUGGCAACGCCGAUCACAGAACCUGCACCGCAGCCAGAUCGGGGAGGGGAGGACCCGCCCCCUGGAGGGCCGGGGGCCCGCUGGCUUGUCUUACCACCAGAGAGUUCCAACAGGAUACAUACUGGGGCUUGACAGACUGUCCUUCACUGACAGGCUGAAGGAACACCAUCUCAGUCUUGAACAGCAGUGAAGUCAGCUCUACCGUCUGGACACCCUGUUCCAUCCCUCUUGUUCAGACAUCUGCCGGAGCCCAGCCAGCAUGGGUCACUGUCUCCAUCACAUGUUGGGUCAAAGGUCACCCCCCAGAAGACAGCACAACUUGCUCCUUUCAACUCAAAGUGCAAGAUAAGAGGCUCCACGCCGACCCUCCCCAUCCUCUACAAAUGGCUUAUCAGUACCAUGACGGAAGGCAACGAGGUACUUUAUGGGAACACAGGCGGACUUUUACUCAAUUUUAAGAUGUUUUUUUAUGCCCCCUUUAAUUAGAAUUGCCAGUCAUUGAUUGGCUGCUAAGACCCUUGUGUCAGUAUUCUGGCUGAGCCACUUGUCAAUUCACAGUGGGUUUUUUUCUCUCCUGCAGGAUCCACUGUCCACUCGUACCACACUUAGCACUUUCUCCAUCUGUCCGUCCAUUUUAUAACCACCUGAUCCAAUUCAGGGUCGCGGAGGCGCUGGAGUCUACCCCAGCGAGCAACAGACGCAAGGCAGGAUACACCCUGGAUGGGACACCAGUCCAUCACAGGGCAGACACAGACACAAACACAGAUACACACACUCGCACCAGGGCCAAUAAACCAAGACUUUGGACUGCAGAAAAAAAAAAUUGGAAAUCAGAUUACCCGGAGGAAACCCAUACAAACACAGGAAGAACAUACGUAACUCCAUGCAGAUACUGUAGCAGCCCAGGGCCCCAUCGCUGCAAGGCAGCCGUGCUAACCACCGUGACAGCCAGCACUUACUCCUUUGUAAUAAAUACAUUCUCCAGGUUAAAAAGGGAACCGAACCUAAAUGCCGCCAUGCAAAGAAGCCACAUAAGAAGCAAAUGCCUACUGUAAAAUACAGAUUUUUUUGCAAACCACAAACUAUUCCUUCUGUCGUUUAUAUCAUCACAGUACAUACUUGACCACAGAGUAUUAAUGCAAGGGCCUUUCCCGCCUCUCCUGCCCCAUAUUUAGAAAUGCAUUUCUGCAAAACGUAUCAGUUUCUUUUUAAAGUAAGGACUGGAAUCCUCCUGGGACGGUACAGUCGCUCAGGCUGGUUAAUCGACAGCGUGUUUAACCAGACAGGCUGACUUCUCGGAAGUCACAUCACACACGCGAAGAGCUGGAGCACACCUCUGAAACGCGACGCAGCACGCCUUGCAGCUCUCGCGCGCACUUCCACCCCUGCAGCCACACUGCUGCCCCGCUUCUGCGCAUCUUGUAGCCAGGCAGCUGCCAUGCGCCAGCCCCCGAGCCUUAUCUGCGCUCUGCAGAGGGUCCUGGCUUCAGAACCUUGCUGGUGCUCAUUCCGCAGUCUCUCUCACCGAGGCCAGAGGUCAACCACAGACAAUAGCAAGGGUCGCUCUCCAGAAACCCUGGCAAAGGCUUCUCCUGCAGACAUCUGCACCCACUGAGCUGCUGCGUGUGCCUCUAUUUACAUUACAAAGCAGACCCCCCUCCCUGCAGCUGAAGUUAAGAAGCAGACGCAGCCCCAGAUACACCAGAACAGACUGAAAGCAGAAGAGCACCUGGGAGGAACAGCAGUGACUAAACACAGCGCCCAUCUGACUGAAGCUGAGGUGUCUUUACCACCUGAUGAUUCAGAAAAUCGAUAACAAAAAUCCCUGAAGGAGUAAACGUGUG